CGCGUGUGUGAAGAAGGCUUUCGGGUUGUAAAGCACUUUCAGCGAGGAAGAAAGCCUCUGGAUUAAUACCCCAGAGGAAGGACAUCACUCGCAGAAGAAGCACCGGCUAACUCCGUGCCAGCAGCCGCGGUAAUACGGAGGGUGCGAGCGUUAAUCGGAAUUACUGGGCGUAAAGCGCGCGUAGGUGGCUUGGCACGCCGGUUGUGAAAGCCCCGGGCUCAACCUGGGAACGGCAUCCGGAACGGCCAGGCUAGAGUGCAGGAGAGGAAGGUAGAAUUCCCGGUGUAGCGGUGAAAUGCGUAGAGAUCGGGAGGAAUACCAGUGGCGAAGGCGGCCUUCUGGCCUGACACUGACACUGAGGUGCGAAAGCGUGGGUAGCAAACAGGAUUAGAUACCCUGGUAGUCCACGCCGUAAACGAUGUCGACUAGCCGUUGGGACCUUUAAGGACUUAGUGGCGCAGUUAACGCGAUAAGUCGACCGCCUGGGGAGUACGGCCGCAAGGUUAAAACUCAAAUGAAUUGACGGGGGCCCGCACAAGCGGUGGAGCAUGUGGUUUAAUUCGAUGCAACGCGAAGAACCUUACCUACCCUUGACAUCCAGAGAAGUUGGCAGAGAUGCCUUCGUGCCUUCGGGAACUCUGAGACAGGUGCUGCAUGGCUGUCGUCAGCUCGUGUUGUGAAAUGUUGGGUUAAGUCCCGUAACGAGCGCAACCC
rnacentral:rRNA from 2 species